rnacentral:rRNA from 3 species
GUCUGGAAAGGCGCGCGAUACAGGGUGACAGCCCCGUACACAAAAGCGCAUGUGCUGUGAGCUCGAUGAGUAGGGCGGGACACGUGGUAUCCUGUCUGAAUAUGGGGGGACCAUCCUCCAAGGCUAAAUACUCCUGACUGACCGAUAGUGAACCAGUACCGUGAGGGAAAGGCGAAAAGAACCCCGGCGAGGGGAGUGAAAAAGAACCUGAAACCGUGUACGUACAAGCAGUGGGAGCACAGGUUUACCUGUGUGACUGCGUACCUUUUGUAUAAUGGGUCAGCGACUUAUAUUCUGUAGCAAGGUUAACCGUAUAGGGGAGCCGGAGGGAAACCGAGUCUUAACCGGGCGUUAAGUUGCAGGGUAUAGACCCGAAACCCGGUGAUCUAGCCAUGGGCAGGUUGAAGGUUGGGUAACACUAACUGGAGGACCGAACCGACUAAUGUUGAAAAAUUAGCGGAUGACCUGUGGCUGGGGGUGAAAGGCCAAUCAAACCGGGAGAUAGCUGGUUCUCCCCGAAAGCUAUUUAGGUAGCGCCUCGUGAAUUCAUCUCCGGGGGUAGAGCACUGUUUCGGCUAGGGGGCCAUCCCGGCUUACCAACCCGAUGCAAACUGCGAAUACCGGAGAAUGUUAUCACGGGAGACACACGGCGGGUGCUAACGUCCGUCGUGAAGAGGGAAACAACCCAGACCGCCAGCUAAGGUCCCAAAGUCAUGGUUAAGUGGGAAACGAUGUGGGAAGGCCCAGACAGCCAGGAUGUUGGCUUAGAAGCAGCCAUCAUUUAAAGAAAGCGUAAUAGCUCACUGGUCGAGUCGGCCUGCGCGGAAGAUGUAACGGGGCUAAACCAUGCACCGAAGCUGCGGCAGCGACACUCAGGUGUUGUUGGGUAGGGGAGCGUUCUGUAAGCCUGUGAAGGUGGCCUGUGAGGGUUGCUGGAGGUAUCAGAAGUGCGAAUGCUGACAUAAGUAACGAUAAAGCGGGUGAAAAGCCCGCUCGCCGGAAGACCAAGGGUUCCUGUCCAACGUUAAUCGGGGCAGGGUGAGUCGACCCCUAAGGCGAGGCCGAAAGGCGUAGUCGAUGGGAAACGGGUUAAUAUUCCCGUACU